AACCGCCAGUGGAAACCAAUUUCCACUGGCGGUUGUGUUAAGAUAACCGCCAGUGGAAAUUGGUUUCCACUGGCGGUU
rnacentral:pre_miRNA from 7 species